AGUAAAUGCAACAGUUCCCACUGUGCUGAGGGCCCUGAAGGAGGGUCAGGCGGUGUGGCGCAUCUCUACAUGGGAACAACAGAGUGACACCUACGGGAGCAGACUGACUCCACCAACAAGUGCACAGCUCGAGUCUUUCAGGCAAAUAUCUCAGAAUUGGUUGAUCUUCUUACUCUUGACCUAAUCAAUGCAAUGAAGGAAAAGUGAACCUGGGUUUACCUACUGGCCCCACCAACAAGGACUUCAAGAUUUUCAACAAGUCACUCAUCUCAAUGAUUCUGCUGCUGCUUCUGAAAAAUUGAGGUGGCCAUUUCUGUCCUACCGAACUUAGACUCAGGAAGGUUACAGGCAGACACAAUGCCUUUAUUUUAUUUUUAUGUGGUGCUGAG